GCAUUGUCUCCAAUAACUAAGCAUUAUAGGCUUAACAAUUAGGAUACAUAUGUAGAGCUGUCUUCCAUAAUUGGUUCAAACAUCUGGAUACCACUGUUAAAUAGGUUUAGGGAGCAACAAGUUGUCCUCAUUUAAAACCUUGCAGACACUAUCAUGAUGCAGAUUUAAAUUUCAAGCAGGUCUACUCCGAGAGAAAGGACACUGAGGUGCUGGAGCAGGUCCAAAGAAAGGCAACAAGGCUUGGGAAGGGCUUGGAGAAUAUGCCCUACAAGGAGACACAGAAGGAACUGGGGCUGUUUAGUCUGGGGAAAAGGAGGCUGAGGGGAGACCUUAUUGCUCUCUUCCAAUAUCUGAAAGGUGCUUACAGCGAGAGUGGGGCUGGUCUCUUCUCACUGGUGACAGGAUGAGGGGAAAUGGCCUCAAGUUGCACCAGGGGAGUUUAGGUUGGAUAUCAGGAAAAACUUCUUUACAGAAAAGGUUGUUAAGCACUGGAAUAGGCUGCCCAGGGAGGUGGUUGAGUCACCAUCCCUGGAUGUGUUUAAAAACCGUUUGGAUGUGGUGCUCAGGGACAUGAUUUAGCGGAGGGUUGUUAGAGUCAGGGUAGUAUGGUUAGGUUGUGGUUGUACUUGAUGAUCUUUAAGGUCUUUUCCAGCCUGAGCAAUUCUAUGAUUCUCUGAUUCUAUGAUUUGCAUAUCUUCAGCUUUUGAUUCCUCAUAAUAUACCUUGCAUAAGAUGCAAAGAACAAAUAAAGUCUACUUUAUGCCUAAAGGCAGAAUUUGUAGGGAAAGAACAUUCUUUACAAAAUCAGAUAUUCUAGUUGUCUACGCAUAUUGAAUAUGACAUUUCAAACGAAAACAAGCAGAG
ensembl:lncRNA